rfam:Angiostrongylus cantonensis strain Taiwan genome assembly, scaffold: ACAC_scaffold0004518
GCAUUGGUGGUUCAGUGGUAGAAUGCGAGCCUGCCACGCUGGCGACCCGGGUUCGAUUCUCGGCCAAUGCA